GAUGAACGCUGGCGGCGUGCCUAAUACAUGCAAGUCGAGCGAAUGGAUUAAGAGCUUGCUCUUAUGAAGUUAGCGGCGGACGGGUGAGUAACACGUGGGUAACCUGCCCAUAAGACUGGGAUAACUCCGGGAAACCGGGGCUAAUACCGGAUAAUAUUUUGAACUGCAUGGUUCAAAGUUGAAAGGCGGCUUAGGCUGUCACUUAUGGAUGGACCCGCGUCGCAUUAGCUAGUUGGUGAGGUAACGGCUCACCAAGGCAACGAUGCGUAGCCGACCUGAGAGGGUGCUCGGCCACACUGGGACUGAGACACGGCCCAGACUCCUACGGGAGGCAGCAGUAGGGAAUCUUCCGCAAUGGACGAAAGUCUGACGGAGCAACGCCGCGUGAGUGAUGAAGGCUUUCGGGUCGUAAAACUCUGUUGUUAGGGAAGAACAAGUGCUAGUUGAAUAAGCUGACACCUUGACGGUACCUAACCAGAAAGCCACGGCUAACUACGUGCCAGCCGCCGCAGUAA
rnacentral:rRNA from 1 species